GAUCGAACCCUGGUCUCUGUGCUUGCCUAAGCAGAUGCUUAGUCCACUGAGCCAUCUCGCCAGCCAUGUCUGAGGCAUUUUCUUUCUGCCUGCUUCUGCCUAUUAGUAUGAAAAGCAUUCAAAUGUACGUACCAGUGGUGCAAUUAGUGUAAUAUGUCCACAUUCAUCUCUAAUAUUUUCUGGUUUGAGUGUUGUGUCUUCCCUCCAACAUUGUAUUAAGUUCUAACUUCCAAUAAUGCAGAAUGUGACCUCAUUUGGAGAUAGGAUCUUUAUAAAGGUAACUAAAUUAAAAUAUGGCUGUAUGAUCCCUAAUUCAUUUUAACUAAUGAUUUUGUAAGAAUAAGAAAUUUGGACCCAAGUGAGCACAGAAGAUCUGAAAAAAAGAUGAUCUGAAGACACGGGCAAGGACUGAUAUUUACACACCAAGGAUAGGGACAGAUCCUUCCUUCAGAAGGCCCAAGCUGCCAACAUCUCGAUUUUGGAUUUCUGACCUUGAAAAUGGCGAGAGAAUAAAUUUCUGCUGUUUCAAUCACCCUGUCUGUUGUACUGCUUUGUUAUAGUGGCUCUAGCAAGCUAAUACAAGUAACCAACUCAACAUCCAAUGUGUUGUAUUUUUCUCUGGUCUUUCCUGUUCCAGGCUAUGAGGCAAAUUCUAGAAUUUUAUCUUUUCCCUAGUAAAAGUUUUACUAUGCACCUGUAACCAGUUUCUUUUAAAAAUUUAAUGCAAUACCAUAAUUGCUUAAUAAUUGUAUUGUCCAGGGGUGGAUGCCCUUAAUUGUGGGGAGACAGCUCCGUGGUGACUCAGCCCAGCCAGGCUGGGUGCUGGACUCUUCUCAGGGUGUGGCUUCACUUCCCUUGGACACCAGACCUUGUGUGGCCAGAGCCCUCUGGUCAGCUCAUAUCAGUGCACUUGAACAGCAAGAACACCCAAAGGAUCCAUGAGUCACAUUUCAUAAGCUGGGAGAGGUGAAGGCAUGAAAAGGCCCAACAGACCUAGUCAGAAGCUAGCAGACAGAAGAUCUGUUACACAUGCAAUAACGGAAAGAACUGAAUCGAAUGAAUAAGAAGAACAAGUAAUAAACAUCUUAAGAGCUGCAUCUACUAAAUGACUCCUGGAGCCCCUUACUUUGCAUUCACAGUAGCGAAUUCUGACGUCAAUUCUGUGAAGCAAAGGCCGUGAGAUUACUCCCAUUUUGCAAACAGAAACAGAGCACUAAGGAUUUUUUUUGCCUAAGGUGUCAGAGCAGAAGUGGCUGGGACCAGGCUGGAUGUGAGGUGAGUGUGACCUAAACUAUGCUUUGAAGUAAUAAACAACAACAAUAACAAAAUAAACUAUGCUUUGAGUGCC